rnacentral:misc_RNA from 1 species
UCCGAGUUGACCCCGGCGGUCUCCCGUGAGUCCCCAGCGCCACAAGGGCCUGCUGGCAACACGGGACAAGGGUUUCGCUCGUUAUAGGACUUGACCAAACAUCUCACGACACGAGCUGACGACAGCCAUGCAGCACCUUGCUUUGUGCCCCGAAGGGAAGUCCCGUUUCCGGGACGGUCACUCGCAUUCUAGCCCAGGUAAGGUUCCUCGCGUACCAUCGAAUUAAACCACAUGCUCCACCGCUUGUGCGGGCCCCCGUCAAUUCCUUUGAGUUUUGGCCUUGCGGCCGUACUCCCCAGGCGGGGCACUUAAUGCGUUAGCUACGGCACGGAACCCGUUGAUAAGGCCCCACACCUAGUGCCCAACGUUUACGGCGUGGACUAC